GACGAACCGUGCGAACGUUGUUCGGAAUCACUGGGCUUAAAGGGCGCGUAGGCGGGCCAGCAAGUCAGGGGUGAAAGCCCACGGCUCAACCGUGGAAGUGCCUCUGAUACUGUUGGCCUCGAGGGAGGUAGGGGCGUGCGGAACUUCCGGUGGAGCGGUGAAAUGCGUAGAUAUCGGAAGGAACAUCGGUGGCGAAAGCGGCUCACUGGACCACAACUGACGCUGAGGCGCGAAAGCUAGGGGAGCAAACAGG
rnacentral:rRNA from 1 species